rnacentral:rRNA from 1 species
CUCAAAUUUGAAAUCUGGCUCUCAGGGCCCGAGUUGUAAUUUGUAGAGGAUGCUUUUGGCGAGGUGCCUUCCGAGUUCCCUGGAACGGGACGCCACAGAGGGUGAGAGCCCCGUAUGGUCGGACACCGAGCCUCUGUAAAGCUCCUUCGACGAGUCGAGUAGUUUGGGAAUGCUGCUCAAAAUGGGAGGUAUAUGUCUUCUAAAGCUAAAUAUUGGCCAGAGACCGAUAGCGCACAAGUAGAGUGAUCGAAAGAUGAAAAGCACUUUGAAAAGAGGGUUAAAAAGUACGUGAAAUUGUUGAAAGGGAAGCGCCUAUGACCAGACUUGCGCCCGGUGAAUCACCCAGCGUUCUCGCUGGUGCACUUUGCCGGGCACAGGCCAGCAUCAGUUCAGCGCGGGGGAGAAAGGCUUCGGGAAUGUGGCUCCCUCGGGAGUGUUAUAGCCCGCUGCGUAAUGCCCUGCGCCGGACUGAGGUACGCGCAUUGCAAGGAUGCUGGCGUAAUGGUCAUCAGCGACCCGUCUUGAAACACGGACCAAGGAGUCGUCUUCGUAUGCGAGUGUUCGGGUGUCAAACCCCUACGCGUAAUGAAAGUGAACGUAGGUGAGAGCUUCGGCGCAUCACCGACCGAUCCUGAUGUUCUCGGAUGGAUUUGAGUAAGAGCAUACGGGGCCGGACCCGAAAGAAGGUGAACUAUGCCUGUAUAGGGUGAAGCCAGAGGAAACUCUGGUGGAGGCUCGCAGCGGUUCUGACGUGCGAAUCGAUCGUCAAAUAUGGGCAUGGGGGCGAAAGACUAAUCGAACCUUCUAGUAGCUGGUUUCCGCCGAAGU